UUAUUCAGAACAGGUAAAAGGGGCAUGGGAGUGUCAAACUCUUAACAUUGAAGGGGACUCCAAAGUGUAUGCUGUAUUGUAGUAUGAUGUUAUUCUAUUUCCUUUCUGCUGUCCCUUUGCUCCUUGUCCUCACUUCCAAAAAGGCAGGGCAAACUAUCUUGUAUGUUAUGAAAGGGGCAAGUGAGGCGGAGUUUUGCCAUGAGACAAGAGAGCAGAGCUGGAUCUGU